UUAGGAAUCUGCCUAUUAGUGGGGGACAACAUUUCGGAAGGAAUGCUAAUACCGCAUACGUCCUACGGGAGAAAGCAGGGGAUCUUCGGACCUUGCGCUAAUAGAUGAGCCUAAGUCGGAUUAGCUAGUUGGUGGGGUAAAGGCCUACCAAGGCGACGAUCUGUAGCGGGUCUGAGAGGAUGAUCCGCCACACUGGGACUGAGACACGGCCCAGACUCCUACGGGAGGCAGCAGUGGGGAAUAUUGGACAAUGGGCGCAAGCCUGAUCCAGCCAUGCCGCGUGUGUGAAGAAGGCCUUAUGGUUGUAAAGCACUUUAAGCGAGGAGGAGGCUACUUUAGUUAAUACCUAGAGAUAGUGGACGUUACUCGCAGAAUAAGCACCGGCUAACUCUGUGCCAGCAGCCGCGGUAAUACAGAGGGUGCAAGCGUUAAUCGGAUUUACUGGGCGUAAAGCGCGCGUAGGCGGCUAAUUAAGUCAAAAUGUGAAAUCCCCGAGCUUAACUUGGGAAUUGCAUUCGAUACUGGUUUAGCUAGAGUGUGGGA
rnacentral:rRNA from 1 species